AUUGAACGCUGGCGGCAGGCCUAACACAUGCAAGUCGAGCGGAGCGCCGGACGCGUGAGUAAUGCCUAGGAAUCUGCCUGGUCGCGGGGGAUAGCGUCCGGUACCGGGCGCUAUUACCGCAAACUAUCACCUGAGCAUAGGUCGGAUUAGCUAGUGGGUGGGGUAAGGGCCUACCCAGGCGACGAUCAGGAUCUGGUCUGAGAGGAUGAUCAGUCACACUGGAACUGAGACACGGUCCAGACUCCUACGGGAGGCAGCAGUGGGGAAUAUUGGACAAUGGGCGAAAGCCUGAUGCAGCCAUGCCGCGUGUGUGAAGAAGGGCUUCGGAUUGUAAAGCACUUUAAGUGGGGAGGCGUUACUAACAGAAUAAGCACCGGCUAACUUCGUGCCAGCAGCCGCGGUAAUUC
rnacentral:rRNA from 1 species